rnacentral:rRNA from 1 species
UUUGGUGGCGAUAGCGAAGAGGUCACACCCGUUCCCAUGCCGAACACGGAAGUUAAGCUCUUCAGCGCCGAUGGUAGUCGGGGGUUUCCCCCUGUGAGAGUAGGACGCCGCCUAGC